CCUACGGGUGACAGCAGUGGGGAAUAUUGGGCAAUGGAGGCAACUCUGACCCAGCAACGCCGCGUGAGUGAUGAAGGUCUUCGGAUUGUAAAACUCUUUAAGUGGGGACGAAGAAAGUGACUGUACCCACAGAAUAAGCCUCGGCUAACUACGUGCCAGCAGCCGCGGUAAUACGGAGGAUUCAAGCGUUAUCCGGAUUUAUUGGGUUUAAAGGGUGCGUAGGCGGUUCGAUAAGUUAGAGGUGAAAUCCCGGGGCUCAACUCCGGCACUGCCUCUGAUACUGUCGGGCUAGAGUUUAGUUGCGGUAGGCGGAAUGUAUGGUGUAGCGGUGAAAUGCAUAGAGAUCGCGCAGAACUCCGAUUGCGAAGGCAGCGUACCGGCGCCAGACUGACGCUGAGGCACGAAAGCGUGGGGAUCGAACAGGAUUAGAUACCCGAGUAGUC
rnacentral:rRNA from 1 species